rnacentral:rRNA from 1 species
GAUGAACGCUAGCGGCGGGCUUAAUACAUGCAAGUCAAGGGGUAGCAAUACACCGGCGUACGGGUGCGUAACGCGUAUGGAACCUGCCCUUAUCUGGGGGAUAACUCGGGGAAACUCGAGCUAAUACCGCAUAAGAUAGUAGAAUGGCAUCAUUCAGCUAUUAAAGAUUUAUCGGAUAAGGAUGGCCAUGCGUAAGAUUAGAUAGUUGGUGGGGUAACGGCUCACCAAGUCUACGAUCUUUAGGGGCUCUGAGAGGAGAAUCCCCCACACGGGCACUGAGAUACGGGCCAGACUCCUACGGGAGGCAGCAGUAGGGAAUAUUGGGCAAUGGGCGGAGGCCUGACCCAGCCACGCCGCGUGCAGGAAGAAGGCCCUCUGGGUUGUAAACUGCUUUUGAUUGGGAAGAAAGCAUCUCAUGCGUGGGAUUUUGACGGUACCAAUCGAAUAAGCCACGGCUAACUACGUGCCAGCAGCCGCGGUAAUAC